CAGAGGGCGCGAGCGUUGUCCGGAAUCACGUGGGCGUAAAGGGCGCGUAGGUGGCCACUAUAAGGCCGUGGUGAAAGUUCGGGGCUCAACCCUGAAUCUGCCGCGGCGACUGUAGGGCUUGGGCACCGUAGAAGCAGAUGGAAUUCCGGGUGUAGCGGUGGAAUGCGUAGAGAUCCGGAAGAACACCGGUGGCGAAGGCGGUCUGCUGGGCGGUGAGCUCGCAAGAGCUCAAUAGCCGACACUGAGGCGCGACAGCGUGGGGAGCAAACAGGAUUAGAUACCCUGGUAGUCCACGCCGUAAACGAUGGGCACUAGGUGCUUUGGGGAGCGACCCUCAGGGUACCGGCGCUAACGCAUGAAGUGCCCCGCCUGGGGAGUACGGCCGCAAGGCUG
rnacentral:rRNA from 1 species